GCUCUUCUAUCCUGCUGGUGGCAGUUUCUCUAAUGGGCAUGCUUUCUGGGGUAAUAACAAGGGUGAAGAGUUCUUGCUUUGAGAGAAAGGAAGGGAGGGCUGGGCAGAACCAUUCCUAGAUACUGAACAGGGGAAGCAAUUCUGUUGUCAUAGAAACCUGGGUUUAUUCUGAAGACUGUUUUCAAUGGCGAUCCAGGCGGUGUCCUGGAAAAUGAGCAUUCUUGGUGUUUGGACUGAGCUGAGCAUAUGGAUUCAGGGAGGUCUCACUGUGCGCCCAUGGUGAUGUGAUGACUGGGAAGAGGAAAAGCAUCCUUGCAUGCCUUGCACUCAUGGAGUCUGCACAGUCUAAAGUGGAAGGGUUUAUUUUCUGCAUCCCUGAAGCAGGAAGUCCUAGAGAAGAGUCCAAUGUGCUCUGACCUGUGCCAGACAGACACCAUGAAAAGAAUAAGAGGUAUUAUGGGUGACUUAUUUCCUUUCCCCCACCCUCUCCAUCAGAAUGCUAACAAGCUCCCAUCCUGUCUUUAUUGGCAUUCCUCUCACGGUAAAUUUGUUCUCACGUGCAUAUAUGCUCAGUCUUCUCAGAUGGAUGGAAGGACCAAGGCACAUUAUAUUCCAUCAGCUGUCCCAGAACUGCAUGACAGUGAUUUUCUGAGGAAUAUCCUUGGAUAUCUUGGAAAUUACUCUGUACUCCAUGCAAGGCUUGAACUCAUAGAGAUGCCCACCUGUGCCUAGCAAGUGCUGGGAUUAAACUCAUACAACAUGAUUAACAACAAUCUUCAAUAUGUCUUAAAAUAUAUAAUAAGCAUUUAGAGGUCAUUGACAGUGUAUUGGAAGAAAUGAGAGAAAUAUCCCAGAGACAUGUGAAUGGGCUGUCCUCACAGGAAUCACACCAAAAGAGCAUCAUUUAGUAGCUUUCAGCAUCCAGUGUGUGCUCCAGUAUUUUGAAGUUGCAGAGAAUCUGGUGAAUUAUGAGAAAAGAAACAAAUGUCCAACACCCAGUGUGGGGAAAAUUACUAAGACAACCAUAGCCAAAUGUUUGCUCCAAAUGGAAUCUGCAGAAUUAUAGAAAGUCCUCUGUCUCAGAGCCAGCUCCAUCAGGGAGCUGCUGAGAUCAUAGGUGGAGAGAGAGAAAGUGAUACAUGAGAAUAUCUGUGUAUGUAUCUGCAACCCCAGGAAGGUUUGCAUUGUGAAGAAUACUUACAGUUAAUCAUUUUGAUGGUAUAUGUAUUUUUUUCCCAGCACAAACAGGACAAGGUUAGUACUUGUGUGUUUUACCUCUAGUUUUCCUGUCAAGCUUGCAGAUUUUAUAGUGACUGCUGAGGGAUUGUGUACAGAUGGAGUAUUUUAUGUAUGAUUCUUGCCACAUCACUUAUCACCAUUAUACUUGCUAAUGUUGCUUCUGAUACCUCUUCCCUCUGCAGUUACCAGUCACCAAGCAUCACUUGUCUUUCAGUAUAGUUUCACUUUUUCCUUGUUUGAUUCUGAAUGUAUUUAUUCAGGCAUUGUGCCUAUCAGUACUGCUCAGAGACCCCCAUUUUGUGCAGAAGAACUCCUUUCCGUCACUAUAUAUUCUGGUGCCUAAAUUAUCCAAUUCCGUGCCAGUGGUAGGACACACAUUCCUGUUGACCUGCUACUCAUUUGUUUCCUGCCUAGAAUCUGGACCAUCUGACCAGCCCUGGAAGGAAGUAAUGGUGCCCAUCUCAGUGCUUUGAAGACCUUGAAGAUAAAGGUUUACAAAUGACAACUUACAGAGGGUGACAUGUAGAAAGUCUUCAGCAAAUGCUAGUUGUCAGUGGCACUUUGACCUCUCUCUCUGUCCAUGUCAGGUUCUUCUAUGAGAAGAACGGGACUGCAGAGAGAACACGCAGAAAUUGACAACAAGCUGCCCUCAGCCUUCCUAUUCCCAGAAUUCUCUUCUCUCUUGUCCAGCCUAUACUUCCUGCCUGGCCACUGGCCAAUCAGAGUUUUAUUUACACAGCAGUAAAAUACCAAAAGGAAAGCAACUUAAGAAGAAAGGGUUUAUCUUGACCCUCAGUUCCAGAGGAAUAAUAGUCUGUAACUGCAGAAGGCCCCUGUGCUGGCAGGAGGAGGAAGCUGACUGUUCACAUUUUCAUCUUCACUCAAGAAGCAGGGCAGACAAGUGACAUACUUCCUCCAGCAAAACCCCACCUCCUCAAGGUUCCAUAUCCCCUCUCCACUCCAAUAUAGCACCCCAAGCAGAGAACCAGUGUUCAGAUACAAGAGCCCGUGGGCAAUAUGGCUUAUUCUAACCUCCAUAUUCAUACAUAAUAAAAGGUAUUCACCACAAUUUCAAUACAAGAACCCAAAAACUGUAAAAUAAAAGAACAGAGCUGAAAGAACACUUAAAAGUAAGAGCAGAAUGGAAGAGAAAAUACUGAAAUCAGGAUAAGAAAGAAAUCCUUGGCACUGUUUCUCUCUUAUAAGAAAUAGAAAUUGGGGUUAGGGUUUUAGCUCAGUGGUAGAGCGCUUGCCUAGCAAGCUUAAGGCUCUGGGUUGGGACCUCAGGUCUGGAAAAAAAAUAGAAUUUUUCUCACACAGUCUGCAAAUAUGGGCAAAGCAUAUUAAACAUCAAAUAUAUUUUCCAUUCUAUUCUCAACUGAAUAAAUUGCUCACAAGCAUUAUUAAACACUUGGCUAUGGGAAGUCCUUUGAAAAUAAAGUUUAUUAUAACAGGGAAAUAUUCAUGAGUAAACACAGAUAUAUAAUGCCUAUGUACUGCACACCAGGCAAUAUUGCUGAGAGAAUAAAGGGACUAUAUACUGUCUUCAUUAAGUCAGAAGACACCAUUAUUAUGAUUCCUGUGCAUUCAACAUUGAUCUAUGGAUUCACUGUGAUUCCCCCUGAAAAUCCUACCAUUUAAAAAAAGAAAUUAGCAAUCUGAUUAAAACAUUUUUAGAAAUACACAGGACCUAAAUCAUGAAAUAAAGCACAAUUAGAAGGAUAAAUAACAAUACAAACUGAAGUGAAAACUAAUUAUGAAACAGCAUUUCUGCUUGGUAUGAUUUAACCAACAGUGAGCACACAUGUUUACUUCUCUCCCUUUGUUCUGUAACUGUGAAUUUGUACCUGCCUGAGUGCUUCUCUCUCUCUGUCUCUCUCUCUCUCUCUCUCUCUCUCUCUCUCUCUCUCUCUCUCUCUCGUUCAUGUGUCCAUAUACAAAGGGUUUGUUCUCUUCUUUUGAACAUACUAGAAAGAUUCACAUUGGGAAGGAAUGAGGGAUAGUUUACAGCAAUGUUUAACAGUAUUUACAAGGGAUUAAGUCAGUGACUCCAGCUGACCCAGAUAAAUAAAUGCUAUCAAGUAAUAUCUGUGUGUUGUCUUCAACAUUUAUGGCAG